ensembl:lncRNA
AUGGCAGCACGGUUUAACCCGGCCAAACGCAUGAUUUUACUGCCGUGCAUCAUUGUCUGUGCAGGAUGUGCUUCUGUACCGCAGACGUGUGUCCGGUGUUCACUGUCUUGUGAUGGAGAACCUGUGCUGAAGGAACACAAGAGCGUUAUUGCUUCUAUAAAACCUCCUUUACAAAAAGAUUCGGACAAAGUAUACAAUGUGUCCAGUUUGUGUGAUGGAGAACGCUGUUCAGUGCCAGGUUGUUUUCAGAGGGACUCGCUGUAUACACUAGAAAUUUAUGACAACGAUGAUCAUACAGUGUCUAAAAUACUCUUCAUCAAAACCAAUUUACAGCCUGACUGCGGUCCAGAGAGUAUAUCAGAUCCAGAUGGUGCUGUUGGGAAUUUCUCUAACAAACUCCUGAUUCUGCUGGCCUUUCUGUUUUUCCAUCUUCCUCUACCUUGAGGGACCAGGAUGACGACGCAUACUGUACAGACACGGCAGCUACUCCAGAGCCAAAGAUAUGCUGAUCUUUCCUAUUGUAACCAGCCAUGAAUCAGGGAUGUGGUUUUUCCGUAUAAAUACGGUUUUGUGUAUUUUCCGCCUCUGAGGGACGACCCGCUGACUUUUUAUGUGUUGCGGUGAGAAUCUGAGUUUGGUAGUGCUGUUAUAAAAUUCACAACGGUUGUGCUGUAAUUAUAUAAUAUGCUGUAGUGUGACGCGCUACAUGUCUGCUGUUACAGUAACGUUACUGUUUUUAGUUGAUUCACUGUUAGUGCUGCGGUGGUUUGAGCCGCUUUAAUUUGCAUUUGUGAACACAACAUUCCUCAGAAACAUUUGUAAAUCUGUUUUUGUUUACAAAGAUGUUUCAGUGUCACAUAAUCCUUCAGAAAUCAUUCUAUUAUGCUGAUUUUCUGCUCAAGAAACAUUUCUGAUUAUUAUCAAUGUUGAAAACAGUUUUGCUGCUUCAUAUUUUGUGCAAAUGAUGAUGCACUAUUUCAGGAUUUUUUGAUAAAUAUAAAGUUUAAUGAACAGCAUUUAUUUGCAUUUAUCAAAUAUAUUCAUUAAAUUUGUUAAUGCAUGUAUUAAAUAAAAAUCAUUUUAAAUGUCUUCUCUCA